ensembl:snRNA U6 U6 spliceosomal RNA
GUGCUCACUUUGGCAGCACAUAUACUAAAAUUGGAAGAAUAUAGAGAAGAUUAGCAUGGCCCCUGUGCAAGGAUAAGACAUAACUUCAUCAAGCAUUCUGUAUUUUU